UGAGCUCCAAACUCUGAUCUGGUGCAAAUAGGCAGAAUGGAUUUCAUCAAGAAGGGAAAAGUCAAGGAAGGAGAUGAGAAAGGAAGGGAAAAGCUUGGCCAAAAUGGGUAGAAGCCAUUAGGAUUUCUUGGGAAGUGAUGGUUUCCAGCGGCUAUAAAAUGAGGUCUCUUCCACCCAACAAAACUCAACUAAAAAACCCACGCCUAGAGAGCAAGCUUUCUCUCUAACUUGCAAAAACUCAGCAAUUUCGUGUACUGUUCACCCUCUUCUCCAUUCUUCUCUUAUGGCAGACAGAGUAUCUGUCAAGCUGCUGGAAGAGCAUUGUUCUUCAUUUCUCUCUUCCUAGCCAA
rnacentral:lncRNA from 1 species